GUGGAGCUGCGGGGUGCGUUAGGCUCAGUGAACCCCAGGGGCGAUAGUCUAUACUUAGGGAGCUGUCCCUGACGGGAUUUCGGUCUCGUUACAUGGCGCCCACCUAUCACACUGGCCCAUUGGACGGUCCAGGUAGCCGACGGCUUUUGCGGCUCCACU
rnacentral:other from 1 species